CCUGGCUGGAGAGCUGCACUGCAAAACUUGGAGAAAUGCGAAUUUCUAAGCAUGGCUGGGUUUCAGUUCGCAUCCUAUUUCGGAAAGUGCAGAUUUGGUAGGUUUGCCUGUCAGUGUGAACUGAAUUUCUCUUCCAUUCUGAAUUCUGCAACAAAUCAUGGGCUCUGCAAUAGUGCAUUAGUGGUGGGUUUAUACUGGACUGUCCACACAUCAUUCAUCUUCGUUGGUUUUGCAUUGCUUCCCUAAUGUUACCCUGUAUGGAGAAGAAGAAGAAGAGUUUGAAGAGUUUGGAUUUGAUAUCCCGCUUUAUCACUACCCUAAGGAGUCUCAAAGCGGCUAACAUUCUCCUUUCCCUUCCUCCCCCACAACAAACACUCUGUGAGGUGAGUGGGGCUGAGAGACUUCAAAGAAGUGCGACUGGCCCAGCAGCUGCAUGUGGAGGAGCGGGGACGCGAACCUGGUUCAUCAGAUUAUGAGUCUAUCGCUCUUAACCACUAUGCCACACUGGCUCUCUUGAACUAUAUCAGGGCAAAAUUGGGAUGACAACAACCCUGGAUCUCUCAUGGUAUAAAAAGUCACAGGAUAUUAGCAGGAGGUUAUGGCACAUGCACUGAUUGGAAAUGAAAUUAAAAAAUUCCUCCCAGUAGCACCUUAGAGACCAACUAAGUUUGUUAUUGAUAUGAGCUCUCGUGUGCAUGCAUUGGAAAUUAAUCAGUAUUUCCAUCCCAAAACUUUUGCAGGUGCAAGCAGUAUUGAAAGGGGAUUGAGUAUCACUGCCCAGAUACCAUCAUGAGCGCAAAUCAUCAUAAAUACACAAUAAACACAGCAUCUGGAGUGGGACAAAAUUUAGCCGCUUUGAAGCUGUUUUUAGGACUCGCAUAAAGAAAGAGCAAGCAAAGAUGUCUGAAACUACUUGAGAUUUAUUAUAUUUGGCCAAGGGACCAGGCAUGCAGAGUGUCACGAGUUUUAUGGGCCUGUUUUAAUGCAGCUGCCCCAUUCACAUUAUGUUCCAUUUUAAGCAAUGCUGUCUUUUGUCCUAUGAUACUCCUAACUAUGCUACUCAUCUCUUCCUUUUGAUGUAGACAAGCCUCCUGGCUGGGCAAAGAUUAACAUUGCCCUAGAUCAGCGAUUCUCAACCUGUGGGUCCCCAGAUGUUGUUGGACUACAACUCCCAUCAUCCCUGAGCUCUGGCCUUGCUAGCUAGGGGUGAUGGGAGUUGUAGUCCAACAACAUCUGGGGACCCACAGGUUGAGAAAGGCUGCCCUAGAUGAAAACAAAGGACAUCAUCACCAUAGUUUUCAGGAUCCCCAGAAUGGGGGAGGGUGAUAAGCUCAGAGUCAAUUGCUUUGAUGAAGAAAAAGCAGAAAUACUGAAGCCAACAUAGUAGAUUUUAGUUUAUGCAAGCUUAUUCCUCUGUUUCUAUGUGUUAUGCAAUAGUUACAGGGCUGACCCUAUUAUUAGGUAGAAUGAGGCAGCCGCUUCAGGCAGCGAAUGCUGUUGGGUGGCCCAUGACCUUUCCUGGGCCUCUUAAGCUGCCCUCAUGCACCAGUGUUGAAGUAAGAUUCAGCUGCCAAUUUGGUAAGCUUUUGUACAAGGGGGGCCACUGUGUUGCCAAUUGCCUCAGGUAGCAAAAUGUCUCGGGGCAGCCUUGAGUAAGUAGAUCAUGCAAGUUGAAAUCAUAGAAUCUAGUCCAACCCUCUGCAAUGCAGGGAUCUCAGCUAAAGCUUCCAUGGCAUGUGACCAUCCAACCUCUGCUUAAAAUUCUCUAAGGAAGGGGAGUCCACAACUUCCCAAGGGAGACUGUUCCACUGUCGAACAUUUCUUGUGUGGUUUGCUGGUUGCAAUCCACAUCAGAAGAGGACAGCCUAGGGUUACAAUAUUUCAAAAAGUGACAAUCCAGACAAAAAAGUUGGGACACGGGUGGUGCUGUGGGUUAAACCACAGAGCCUUGGACUUGCCGAUCAGAAGGUUGGCGGUUCGAAUCCCCAUUAUGGGGUGAGCUCCUGUUGCUCGGUCCCUGCUCCUGCCAACCUAGCAGUUCGAAAGCAUGUCAAAGUGCAAGUAGAUAAAUACCUUCCGGCGGGAAGGUAAACGGCAUUUCCAUGCGCUGCUCUGGUUCACCAGAAGCGGCUUAGUCAUGCUGGCCACAUGACCCGGAAGCUGUACGCCGGCUCCCUCGGCCAAUAAAGCGAGAUGAGUGCCACAACCCUAGAGUCGGCCACAACUGGACCUAAUGGUCAGGGGUCCCUUUACCUUUAUCCAAUCCAGAUAUGGAGGGCCAGAUACGGAAGUCUGGGGAGCCACAUUGAGACCCUGUUCCUGUGAUUUCUUC